UACAGAGGGUGCAAGCGUUGUUCGGAAUUACUGGGCGUAAAGCGCGUGUAGGCGGUCUGCCAAGUCUGAUGUGAAAGCCCCGGGCUCAACCCGGGAAGUGCAUCUGAUACUGCUUGGCUUGAAUGUUGGAGAGGGUAGUGGAAUUCCUGGUGUAGUGGUGAAAUACGUAGAUAUCAGGAGGAACACCUGUGGCGAAGGCGGCUACCUGGCCAAACAUUGACGCUGAGAGACGAAAGCGUGGGGAUCAAACAGG
rnacentral:rRNA from 1 species